rnacentral:tRNA from 1 species
AGACCGAUGGUGUAACGGUAGCACAGCAGUUUUUGGUACUGCUUGUCUAGGUUCGAAUCCUAGUCGGUCUGC